AGCCAAAGGGGGGGAUAGCAGCAUAAAUUACGGUAUAUAGAUGUAAUGGAAUACCAUUGUGCCGUAAGAAACGAUAAAGGGGACGGGGGUGGGGAGGCGAGUUUCAGAGAAAUCUUGGGAAGAUUUGUUUGAACUGAUGCACAGCUAGGGGAGCAGAACCAAAAGUAUGUCUAAAAUAACCUCGACAAUGUAAAGACAAACAACUAUGAAAGAGUUAAAAACUCUGCUCACCGCAGGGACCAACCACGAUUCCCAAGGGCCGGGAAGGAGACGGGCUCUGGGUGCAGAACGAGACAUUUUGCUUCUUUUGGAGUUUGAAAGCAUUCAGAUUCAGCUCAAGUACUUUCUUUUCUUUUUUGUCUAUGGUUACAAUUGUAAGUGCAGGUACACUUGUUAAACUAUGAACUCAUAAAAGAAGAUAACACUAAAAGAAGAUAACACAUGUCAUUAACCUCUUGAUAGAAAGAUUUCAGUGAAAUAAGAUUAAAUAUGAAAAUGAGUCAAGUAGCUGAUUGAAGGAUGACUUACAAGUGAAACGGAGAGAGGGAAGAAGAGAGAGAGCUCCAGAAAAUAUGUGAAUGGAAUUUUUAGAAUGCCCCAGUUGGGACUAUGGGGCCUGUAUGGUGAAUAAACUUUUCAUAUUGGUAAAGAUUCUAAUUAUAUUCAGAUCCCUGUAAAUUCUAUUUUUAGAGAGUAUUGAGACCCUAUAAGUGACUACAUGAGAAAAAAAUGAAUGAAUGUAUAUGUUACCCAUUGUAAAUAAGUUGGAUUUAUAAAA